rnacentral:rRNA from 1 species
CCUACGGGAGGCAGCAGUGAGGAAUAUUGGUCAAUGGGCGCAAGCCUGAACCAGCAAUGCCGCGUGUGGGACGACAGGGCUUCGCCUUGUAAACCACUGUCGGAUGGGACGAAAAGAGGUAAGAACCUCCGGGACGGUACCAUCAAAGGAAGGGUCGGCUAACUACGUGCCAGCAGCCGCGGUAAUACGUAGGACCCAAGCGUUGUCCGGAUUUACUGGGUAUAAAGGGUGCGUAGGCGGUCUUGUGCGUCAGAGGUGAAAUAUCCGGGCUUAACCCGGAGGGUGCCUUUGAUACGGCAGGACUUGAGUGCGAGAGAGGAUGAUGGAAUUCCUGGUGUAGCGGUGAAAUGCGUAGAUAUCAGGAGGAACACCGGUGGCGAAGGCGGUCAUCUGGCUCGUAACUGACGCUGAGGCACGAAAGCGCGGGGAUCAAACAGGAUUAGAUACCCUGGUAGUCCGCGCCCUAAACGAUGUAUGCUUGGUGUUGGAUCCGCAAGGGUUCAGUGCCGAAGGGAAUCUGAUAAGCAUACCACCUGGGGAGUACGAUCGCAAGGUUGAAACUCAAAGGAAUUGACGG